AAUUAGAGAGGUACACCUGUUAAACGGUAAUGCAGGUGUCCCAAAGUAAGCUUAAGGAGAACAGAAACGUCCCAAGGUGAAUAAAGCUCGCUUGAUCUUGAUUUUCAGUAUGAAAACAGACUGUAUGAAUGG
rnacentral:ncRNA from 1 species